CUCACGAAGGGCCGUAUUUAUUAGAUAUCAGCCAAUAAGCAUCUGCUAUUGUGGUGACUCAUAGUAACUUAAUCGGAUCGCAUGGGCUUGUCCCGCGACAAACCAUUCAAGUUUCUGCCCCAUCAUGCUUUCGAUGGUAGUGUAUUGGACUACCAUGGCUUUCACGGGUAACGGAGGAUUAGGGUUCGAUUCCGGAGAGGGAGCCUGAGAAACGGCUACCACUUCCACGGAAGGCAGCAGGCGCGUAAAUUACCCAAUCCUGAUUCAGGGAGGUAGUGACAAGAAAUAACGGGCCGGGA
rnacentral:rRNA from 1 species